UGCAAGUCGAACGGCAGCACGGGGGCAACCCUGGUGGCGAGUGGCGAACGGGUGAGUAAUGCAUCGGAACGUGCCAUUGAGUGGGGGAUAACGUAGCGAAAGUUGCGCUAAUACCGCAUAUUCUGUGAGCAGGAAAGCAGGGGACCGCAAGGCCUUGCGCUCUGGGAGCGGCCGAUGUCGGAUUAGCUAGUUGGUGGGGUAAAGGCCUACCAAGGCGACGAUCCGUAGCGGGUCUGAGAGGAUGAUCCGCCACACUGGGACUGAGACACGGCCCAGACUCCUACGGGAGGCAGCAGUGGGGAAUUUUGGACAAUGGGCGCAAGCCUGAUCCAGCCAUGCCGCGUGAGUGAAGAAGGCCUUCGGGUUGUAAAGCUCUUUCGGCGGGGAAGAAAUUGCACGGGUUAAUACCCUGUGUAGAUGACGGUACCCGAAUAAGAAUCACCGGCUAACUACGUG
rnacentral:rRNA from 1 species